GACGAAGGGGGCAAGCGUUGUUCGGAAUUACUGGGUUUAAAGGGUGCGUAGGCGGCUAUGUAAGUCAGGAGUGAAAGUUUGCGGCUCAACCGUAAAAUUGCUUUUGAUACUGCAUGGCUGGAAUCAGGAUGAGGUCAGCGGAAUGUGGCAUGUAGCGGUGAAAUGCAUAGAUAUGCCAUAGAACACCAAUUGCGAAGGCAGCUGGCUAGACCUGUAUUGACGCUGAGGCACGAAAGCGUGGGGAGCGAACAGG
rnacentral:rRNA from 1 species